rnacentral:lncRNA from 1 species
UUUUGAUCAUCGGCUAUGGAGCUCUUCCACCUGCGAUAAGGUAUGCGAUCUGAUCUCAUAAAUCAAUUUUAAAUUUCAUAUGUCUUAGAUCCAUGUUAGGAAAGGUUUUAGAUCUGAUUUAAUAUAUGAUAAAAAUAGUUAAUCUAUUUUAUUCGAUUGUGAUUUUAAAACAGUUUUGAAAUACAUGCAUGUAAUCUGCCCUUCUUUUUUUUCUAACAGU